rnacentral:lncRNA from 1 species
UGGAAAUUUCAGAUGGACAUACGACAGAUAAACUUCCUCUACGACUGCGAGCGACCAGGACGCCGAGUGGGAGUUCUGCCAGACCCAAGAGAGCUGUCGCGCAACCUCACGCUUUACAUUGAAGUGCGGAACGGGAAUGACGCGCGGCGCACGGCGGCAGAUUGGUUCUUGCUCGCCGCGCUGUUGCUCACGAGACAUCUUCUUCACUCAGCCGCCUGAGAAGCUUUCCAGGCAACGCAAAUGAUGGCGAUGGCGGAAAGAAAAGAUUACAUGGUUCAAAAAGCCUUGGAAAUUAUUUGCAACGACAUUUAUGGGAAACUAAUAACUCGCGUGCGCGCACGCUCUAUUCAAUUCGUAUUGUGCUUGGAUCAGAAAUCCAUCAAUUACUAUAGCCUAAUCAGUAUAGUCGAGAAGUGACUAUAUAAUCAGUAUAGUCGGCCUGUUGUUUGAACUUCAGGGAGUUCUGUUACUGACGAUUUUACGUCUGCACGGUUGCUGGGAAUGAUUUAGUAAACGGUUACUCAGAUUCAAUUAGCAAGCAAUUUCAUCUGUCAAUAUCGAGAAACUUUCUGGUGAAAUAAAAACUGGAUAGAACAGAUAUUCAUUUUAAGAUCGUUUAAUGUGUGGGUUUUAUCAAUAAAUUGGUAAUAUUUGUUUCGCUAAAUUAAGAUUUAUAACUACUACACUUUGUGUUUUAGUUCGUACUAAAAGUUCUAAUACAGUGGAAUCCGAAAUGGUGGAGGAACGGAAGAAAAACACACGCAGAAUUACAGCUCAAUACAUCUGAACCUCAACAACAAUAAUACAUUGAGAUCUAACAUAUUUUUCAUUAAAAUGCACUAAUUAUUGACUUUAUCCGUGCAUGUCCUGCAUAGCAGCUGGCUGAUAAAGAAUUGUCACACGUUACCUAGACAGGUUUUGAUUCGGUACUUCACCAGAGGUUACUCGUCAAGCUAAAAGCACUUGGUGUGGAUGGUCAGUCGUUAGGAUGGAGCAGAGCAUUUUUGAGCAGUAGACGUUAACAAGUCUGCGUUAAUGGCAGUCUUCCGGACAGGGCGGCUGUACAAGCGGAGUGCCACAAGAAAGUGUCCUGGGGCAUGUUCUUUUCGUGGUGUUCAUUAACGAUUUGGUGUCCGAACGUCGUGGUGUCCA